AGAGUUUGAUCCUGGCUCAGGACGAACGCUGGCGGCGUGCCUAACACAUGCAAGUCGAGCGGAGACAGUGAGUAGCUUGCUAUGAGCUGUUUUAGCGGCGGACGGGUGAGUAACGCGUGAGCAACCUUUCCCAGACAGGGGAAUAACACACCGAAAGGUGUACUAAUACCGCAUAAGACCACGGAAUCACAUGGUUCUGAGGUAAAAGAUUUAUCGGUUUGGGGUGGGCUCGCGUCCGAUUAGGUAGUUGGUGAGGUAACGGCCCACCAAGCCGACGAUCGGUAGCCGACCUGAGAGGGUGAUCGGCCACAUUGGGACUGAGACACGGCCCAAACUCCUACGGGAGGCAGCAGUGGGGAAUAUUGGGCAAUGGAGGAAACUCUGACCCAGCAACGCCGCGUGGAGGAAGAAGGUUUUCGGAUCGUAAACUCCUGUCCUUGGAGACGAGUAGAAGACGGUAUCCAAGGAGGAAGCCCCGGCUAACUACGUGCCAGCAGCCGCGGUAAUACGUAGGGGGCAAGCGUUGUCCGGAAUAAUUGGGCGUAAAGGGCGCGUAGGCGGCUCGGUAAGUCUGGAGUGAAAGUCCUGCUUUUAAGGUGGGAAUUGCUUUGGAUACUGUCGGGCUUGAGUGCAGGAGAGGUUAGUGGAAUUCCCAGUGUAGCGGUGAAAUGCGUAGAGAUUGGGAGGAACACCAGUGGCGAAGGCGACUAACUGGACUGUAACUGACGCUGAGGCGCGAAAGUGUGGGGAGCAAACAGGAUUAGAUACCCUGGUAGUCCACACUGUAAACGAUGAAUGCUAGGUGUAGGGGGUAUCGACCCCUUCUGUGCCGCAGUCAACACAAUAAGCAUUCCGCCUGGGGAGUACGGCCGCAAGGUUGAAACUCAAAGGAAUUGACGGGGGCCCGCAC
rnacentral:rRNA from 1 species